GAAGCGAAAACCAUCGAGCAAGAACACCAAAAGCUUGCGGUGGGCCGAGAGGGCGGCGGGGGGCAGCAGGAAGGCAGCGAGGGCUGCGACGAGGAGGCGGAGGCUGCCCAUGGCAGGUACGGCUAGGGGUCUGCCGCGGCCAGCAGCCGGCUCGGCACUGCUGCCCUCUCGCUCCCACUGCCCUGUAACGCUGCGGCUCUGCCCCGCGCUCCGGGGGCGUGGGAGGUCACAGGUUGAUUGCAAGCAGAUAAUUAACCUCGGCUGGGGGGGGAGAGAUCGGUACUGCCCGGCCAGAGAGAAGAAGCUUCGCGGCGAUCAGGAAAACGCGGCGCAAAAUAAUUACAGCUCAUUCUGCCCCCUUCAAGUCCACAUGAAUUGCCUGAACUGCCACAGUGGACAUUCAUAGUGGAGAAGAACAAAGUUGGGGGAAUGUCAGCAGUGGGUGACAAGUCACCAAUGGGACUGAACACAGUCAACAAUGCCCUUAAUUUGUCAGCUGCUGCUGUCCCCUAAAAGAUGCUCCCAGGGAAAAGCAAGUUUCACGUAGCCAGUGUGGACUGGAAUAACAACUUUAACAACCUCACAGAGCCACUUCCUACUGGUUAUGAGGACAGUUGAGAAAAACAAACUGUUUACCAGAGGCUUAAACUCACUAUGCAGUGAGCCUCUGCCACUGGAAAAUGUGUGGGAGCUCAGGUCAGGAAAGACUGGAAAGCCUGCACCAGGUGAUGGCAUCUCGUGGCUGUGUGCAGCAGAAGACUGCUUCCUCUCUCACUCCAUGGUGUGUCAGCCACAGGACCAUCCAGCUCAGGAAGAGGGUGCCACUGUCUUGAACUGAAACCAGUCUUCACUCCUUUCAAAAGGUUUGGAUCUCAACCCAUCUCCAUUACCUUCCCAACACUUCUAACUCAUGUUACUGCAAAGUUACUACUUAAUUAGCCCAAGACCAAGCUUGCCUGGACAUCAGUGUCCAGUGAUGCAGGAGUUUUCACCUCACUGAGGAAACCUUGCACAAUGCACUUCUCUGUUGAAAUCACCUAGUCAGGUUUGAUAGAUUGAAAAACCUGAUAGCUCUAAGCAAAUAGGUACUGCAUUUUCUGCUUCACCUCUACUCUCUGGUCAUUCUCCUGUAUAAUGAAGACAGUGGUGAAGGAUUUUACUGCUAUUCUAGAAACAGAGGUCAACAUGCAGCAGUGUGAGUGGGGAUGGAAACCUGGCAAGCUAAAAAAGUUGACUGAGAGUGGAAGAAAAUAAUAAAACCACAAUCAACAAAAUAAA